UACAGAGGUCUCAAGCGUUGUUCGGAAUCACUGGGCGUAAAGGGCGUGUAGGCGGCCUGUUAAGUCUGAUGUGAAAUCCCCUCGCUCAACGAGGGAACUGCGUCGGAAACUGGCAGGCUCGAGUACCGGAGAGGAAGGUGGAAUUCCCGGUGUAGCGGUGAAAUGCGUAGAUAUUAGGAAGAACACCGGUGGCGAAGGCGGCCAUCUGGCUCGGUACUGA
rnacentral:rRNA from 1 species